CGGCGGGCGAGUGCGGUUCCUUGUGUGUGCGUGCGUGGCGUCGCGGUUAGUGUAGUGAUAGAUAGUGUGCGUUAGUUUAUCCUAUUGAAUGCGUCUUCCUCGCGCUGGAUUUGGUGAGUACCCGUAUCACAGGUCACACCGUGGGACUGACACCGCUGGAGCAACCCUUCGGAAUAAAGUAAAGUACAAAUUACUGUUUCCUAGGCGUUAGGCGUUAGGCAUAGGGCGAUAGGCGGCGCGGCUAACCAUUCUCUUUCAGGUACAAAGUAACCUUCUCUUCCAGGUACAUGUUAAUUAUCUAGUCUUCCCCAGUAAUGUCCUCGUUAGCGCACCGUGGCGGCGAUCCUGGAGCCUCGUGCUGGUGGUGGUGGUGGUGGCGUGGCUGGCUGGCUGGCUGUGGCGGGCGUGCACGUGCUAUCAUAAUGGGUUACGUGGUAGGUGCGUUCACUGGUCUGGGCUGUGUUGGUGCGUGUUCUGAAGAGAUGACCGCAGACACGCUGGCUGCUGAUGACUAUAGCCGCACAGAGGCAGUAUACUGUACAAGCUGGAUGGAAGUAUGCAAACCAGGGCUGGGCGGGAGACGAUUACUGGAUUCGAAUCUGUAGAAUCCUGAAAGGCGGUACGAAUCCGAUUACUGCGUCAGGAUUCUAGAAUCCGGUAUGGAAUCCAUUCCUCGGACGAGGUCUCUUAUUCCUGAGUAAAAAUAGUUAUGGAGAACAACGUAAAAGCAAACUAAUUUGUACAAUAUAGUCUGUAUGAUGUUAUUAAUUAUGUUUUUGGAGUAUAUAAACAAUGAGGUCUGUGGGGCUAGCUAUUGUGUAUGCUAGCGACAUGUGGAAGGUUUUAGUGUUGCCAAA